rnacentral:rRNA from 1 species
UACGUAGGGGGCAAGCGUUGUCCGGAUUUAUUGGGCGUAAAGAGCGUGUAGGCGGCCAGGUAGGUCCGUUGUGAAAACUCGAGGCUCAACCUCGAGACGUCGGCGGAAACCCUCUGGCUAGAGUCCGGAAGAGGAGAGUGGAAUUCCUGGUGUAGCGGUGAAAUGCGCAGAUAUCAGGAAGAACACCCGUGGCGAAGGCGGCUCUCUGGGACGGUACUGACGCUGAGACGCGAAAGCGUGGGGAGCAAACCGG